CGCACGAGAUCAGCUGUUACGAGUAUGCCCAUCAUGAGGAGUUUCCCAUUUUUUAAAGGGGGAGAAUCAAAGUUCAGACAGACUCGCCCAAGCCCAUACGGCCGUCCAAUGAUACAGCCAGAAUGGGAACCCGUAAGGCUCCGUCUGUGGCGUUGGGGCACAGAAGGGAAAAAAAAAAACCAGAGAGAAAAGUUCUUGUUGCCUGAAGCUAACAUUUUAGUAGAAGAAUACAGACAGCUGAUAAAUAAGUUAAAUACAAAUAGAAUAGCAUCUACUACUAAGGGGUUAUAGGAACUAUGAAGAAAAACAGAGGAGGAAACAGGAAUCUGGAGUACUAGAAAUGGGAUGAAGUUUUUUUUUUCCUCCUAAUUUAAACUUUUUGUCCCUCUCAUUAAAAAAAGAGAGAAAGAAAGAAAGAAUGAAAGAAAGAAAGAGAAAAAAAGAAAUAAUCUUACAGCAUCAGCCAAUGACCAGAGAGUAGUCAUUUUACAAGGCAGCGUCAGUAUUCAUUUUUUUCUUGGUUCUGUAUUUAGAAGACAUGUUUGUAUUUUUUCAGUGAAGACUCUUGAUUUUAGCAAAUUGCUUGAGGUAGGUAUUCUUUAUCAUGUUAAAGAAGCAUUUGCUAGACUAGACACUUACAACUUUCUUGUAAUAAAGUUGAUGAUUUUCUUCUCUCGCUCUACAGGGGACAUACUUUAGAAUCAAAGAAACAGAUAUGGAAACAAAAGAAUCAGAAAUGAUAUCAUGUCAAGAAAGCAUGAGAGACUCAGAGUAGCCAAACUUGCAAUAGACAUACUGGACCAUAAAACAAUGACUUUCUUAAGAGAGACAAAGGACAUUUCAUAAUAAUGAAAUAUAUAUAUGUAUGUGUGUGUGUGUGUGUGUGUGUGUGUGUGUGUGUAUACACAUAUACUUAACAACAGAGUUCUAAGUUACUUGAAUCAAAAACAGAACAAUUCAGGGAGAAAUAGAAAACUCAACAGUAAUAAUUGCAGACACGAAUAGCCCACUUUAAAUACUGGACAAGACAAUUGGACAGAUUAUUGACAAGUUUAGGUAAGACUUGAGCACUAUAGAAACCAAUCAGAGCUAACAUACCACAGACACAACACUUUACCCGAAGAAAACAGAAUACAAAUUCUUCUCGAGCAUAAAUGGAACACUCCAGAGGGUAACAUCCAUUCAAGCCUGUAAAACAAGACUUCUGAAUUUGAAAAUAUUGACAUAGAUAUGGAUACAAGUAUAUUCUAAAAUUUCAAUAUAACUAGAAAUCACCAUGAGAAAGAAAUUUGAAAAAUUCAUAAGUAUGUGAAAAUUAUAAAAUAUGUUUCUUAAAAAAACAGUUGGUCAAAGAAGAGACUAGAAGAGAAAUUAUAAAAUAUUUUCGGAUAUGUUAAAAUGAAAACAAAACAUACCAAACUCAUGAAAUGCAGUUAAAACUAUUUCGGAGAAAAUUUACAAUGGGAAAUGUUUGUAUUAAAAAAGAAAACAGACCUCAAAUCAAUAACCUACCAUUUUUUACCUUGAGACACUGAAAAGAAAAACAAAAUAAACCUUAAGAAAACAAGGAAGGAAGUAAAGAUCGGAGCAGGAAUUAAAGAAAUAAAGAAAAGAAAAACAAUAGAGAAAAUCAAGAAAAUGCAAAGUAAGCCCUUGGGAGCGAUCAACACACUUGAUAUAUUUUCAGCAAGACAAACCAAGAAAAAAAGACAGAAGACAUGUACCAUCAAAAUUAGAAACAUAAGAGGGGACACUGGGGCUGACUUUACAGAAAUUCAGAAAGAUUGUGAUGAAAUACGACUAACAACUUACGCCAACAAAUUAGACAACUUGGAUGAAAAAGAGAAAUUCCUAGAAAUGCAAAACUACCGACACUGACUCAUAAAGAAAUACAAAAUGCAAACAUACCCACCACAGGAAAGUGUCGAAUUAUUCGUAUGAAAGCCUCCCAUGAAGGAAAGAGCAAAGCUAAAAUGGUUUCACUGCCCAACCGAAUUCGCAAUUCAAAUGGCAAAUUCCCCCAAACAUCCCAGGAAGAAUUAAUACCAGUCCCUCACAAAAUCCUCCCAGAAAUCUAAGGAAGCAUCACUCUCCAGCACAUGGUGUGCGUCUAGAAUUUUCCUGUUCCCAAACCAAAGGUACUUCAAUAAAGGAAAACUGCAGACCAAGAAAUCCUCAACAACAUGCCAGCAAAUUUCAUCCAGCAGAACAUAAAAGGGAUGGUGUGGAUUACCACCACCACGUGGGAUUUAUGUCGGGUAUGCAACGUUCUUACGACAGCCAGAACCCAAUUGUGAUGCGUUGCAUUAAAAAAAUAAAGAACAAAGGCCACAUGACCAUCCAAAGAGAUACGAGAAAAAAAAAAGGGAAAGAAAAAAAAAAUUUGAGAAAACCCAACCUCUUUCGUGACAAAAACACUCAGAAAUUAGACACAGGAAGGAACUUUCUUAACCCAGCAAAGGGCAUGUAGGAAAAUGCCACAGCCAACACGUUCACACUGAAUGACUGACAGCUUUAAGACGAGGAGCACACCGGUCCAUCAAGGCUGCCCGGUUUCACCAGGCCGUCCCAUAUUGUAUUGGAAGUUCUAGCCAGAACAAUCAGGCAAGAAAAAGAAACAAAAGGCAACCAAAUUGGAAAGCGCAGCCACUUUACAAAACAGUUGGCCAAUUUCUCAAAAUGCUAAACAUAGAGAAAUCAGAUGACUUUCUAAACCCACACCCCCAAGUAUCUCUCUAAGAGAUUUGGAAACAAACAUCCACGUAAACAUCCUUCCCUGUCCCCGAAUGUUGUUGAUAGUAGCAUUUUUCGUAACAGUCAAAACAUGGAGACAGCUCAAAUGUCCAUUGUCUGAUCCUGGAUAGGUAAUGCGGAUAUCACGUACAACGGAAUAGUAUUCUCCAAUAAAAAAUGAAACGCAGAUACAAGCUGCAACAUGAAAAAACCUUGAAACGUUAUGCCUAAUGAAAGAAGCCAGUCACAAAGACCGUGUAUGGUAUGAUUCUGUGUAUAUGAAAUGCCCAGUGUAUGCAAAUGUAUGGAAUCAAAAUACGGAUUAGUGUGCCCAGAGCUCGGGAAAUUUGGCAGAAAAGAGUAAGUCUCUUGCUACCACAUCCAGGGAACAACUGAAUUUUAUGACAGAGUGGAUUUAUUGUUUAUAGAUUUAUAAUACGUAAAUUGUAUUACGCAGAUCCCAGGUCUGUAUUGCCUGCUGUCCAAGAUCUGACCGUAUUUGCACCUGAAAGUUUUCCAGUUUUCUACCUCUUUGCUUGAGAGAAGAAAAAUCUUCAACCUUCUAGUCACAAGGUCAGCGGGGUGUGCAGUAUUUUUCCCUUGACCUUUUUGUCAUCUCCCUCGAUGUGGAAGAAGCUGGAAAGCCCGCACACAAGAUCUACGGUAUGCUGACCCAAAUGCCCUCUCCACAUCUCCCAUGACCGCCUAAUGGUUGUCCCAGACCUGGCUUCACCAACGCUCACCAUUCUCUACACUGAACUCUCAGAGCGUCCUUCUCAAACAGAAGUCUGAUAACACCACUCUGUUCUUCAACUUUCUCAUUGGCUUCUUGCUGUCUUCAUAGCAACUUUUAUUCCCCCGGUGUGGUGUGCAAGGCCUUCCCUGCCCAGUUGCCCUGUAAGGGCUCAGCCCUGUGCCCAGCACCCCCUUGAGUGGAAGGCAGCAUAGCUCAAUCUUUGCCCUUUUGCUCAGAUGCCACUCUCUCUCACAUCUGAGCGAUGCUACCUCCAUCGAGAAGGUUCUUUCCCUCCCUUCUCCUCUGCUACCUGGUAACCUCUACCUGUUAGAAAAAUAAUUAGUGCUAACUCUGUGACACAUUAUUGAGAAUUCCCCACGUGCCCUCUACCUCUCCUGUCACACAUUCAAAUCACUGAGUGAACGUCCCCACUCAGGGAUAUGUGCUUCUGCACUGGACAGAUGUGAACAGAAGGUUCAGAGGAAUGUUCUCCCCAAAUGUCAGAUGACUCACAGGUAGACUUAAACACAGGUCUCUGACUAUGAAAUCCUAGCUACUUCCAUUAUGCCAAGCUGCCUUUCUGAAAAUCCAAGUAAGUAUGAUCUCAUCCAGGAAGUCUAUCGUGAUGACUGCUGUGCACUGAAUACUACGGGCCCGUGAACGGAAUUAGUGCCCUUAUGAAAGACCCCAAAGAGCUCCCUCCUCCCUUCCCCACUGUGAGGACACAGCAGAAGGCGGCCGUCUGUGAACCAAGAAGGGGACCCUCACCAGACAUUGAGCGCCCUGGCAACCUGAUCUUGGACUGCCAACCUCCAGAACCGUGACAAAUAAAUGUCUUUCAGACUUUGUUACAGUAACAAACCAGCUAAGGCAAUGACCUCCAUGAUCUGUGCUCACAAGCACAUCUCUUGGGACAUCUUGCUCGAUCCUCUGUACACACGUCCGCUUGUCUGCAUGGUGAGCUCUGUGGGGAAGGUGAAUGUGCUGUUUUUACGUGCCCCUCACCGACCAGCACAGCUGCCCUAGGAAUCUGAAAAUACCGAAUGAAUGUUCGAAUGAAUACAUUCAUAGAUAGAACCGGAUAGAAAGCUGGAACGGAGCGUGAGUGAUGGCUCACAAUGUGAACAUCUCCAUGGUGAAAUAAAGCCUUCCAUCACCUAGGGACACCCACGUGAGCACACACUCACGUGUAUACACAUCAUCAGCGCAUGUUCCCUUCUGUAAGGCGACGCUCUUGGUGUUACAGAAAGAACGUGUACUGAUUAUGUAACUUAAUAAUAUAUUAGGGAGACAGUUGGGAGGUUAAAGUUGUCGGAAAACCAGACAGGGUCUGUGUUAGCUCUCUGCUUUCUAAGUGGCUUUAAUUAAACCCUGUACACGCUGUUCCUCGUCUCCCCUUUCUGUGUUUUGGAUUCUGUCUCAAACUAAGGAACUACAAUCCUAAAUGAAACGCGCAGCCCAGGUAGAGAAGUCAGGGAGCCAGGGCUUUUAGAGCAGGGCUUCCUCUGAGAUCGUUAUUAUUUCUCUUGCCAAACAGGCACCUUUUCGAUGCGGUUUCUGUCUCCGUCUUAACCACGUUCACACACUUCCCCACAGACUGACAUUUUCCUCCAGAUAUCUCCCUAAUUACACGAUUCAUCUACCACUUGAAACACCCUUACUUGCACAUACCUCUUAAGAUUUUUCUUCCCGGUGCCCAGAAAUGUCAAUUAAAGAGCUUCCAGAAUGCCGUCUCAGGACCUACCUCUAGUCAUUGUCCCUCUGAAAUCAGAAUUUGAAAACCAUUGCGUGUCAGGUUGGCAAAUAUCUCCGCCACCACGAGUCAGUGUGUUACAAUUAAUAUUUCAAAUCAAAAAUGUUAGCAUGCCGAAUAUCCUUCAAGGGAAUCGUUUACUCUCUCAGUGCAUCCGUGUGAUUUAAUCAAAUGUCAGUGUGAAAUAGGAAACGCUGUGUCUGGGGGCUUUGGGUUGACAUUUAAAUUCCAUUCGUAUCUACCUGUUGUAACAUGGACUUACACAGUGAAGAAACCAAGGUUAACCAUCUUUUGAAAUAAGUGAAAAGUUACAUAACUUUUACCUAAAUGAUAAAGACCUUUAAUAAUGAGGACUUUUUUUACUCUCGACUCUACAGUGCUUUCUUAUGUUUUGUUAUUUGUGGCAUUUCAGAUUUAUCUUGUGGAAGGGAAGAACCUUCUGUGUUCCUCCCUGUGAUCCGUAGGGAAUGUUCUGCCAGCUGGACGUGAUUUUAUAGCCAAGGUCCUGCCUACAGUUCAGGGACUUGUUGGCAGUCAUGAAUACAUGUUCACAAAUACGUUUAAGUGUCUGGUGGAUGGGCUUCCAGAAACAUCUCCGCAUGGUCUCUAGCUCUCUGCAUUUGGAUGCGUAUAGUGAGUAUAUCAUCAGUACAAAAGGUGUAACCCGCAGAGAAGAAUUACGGGACUACAGAAAUCCACUGCAAACGAGUAGAAGGCCCAGGCAGGCCCACAAAUCCUGCUGGAAUCUUCACACGAUGACGGGAAGUUUCUCCUGAGCAUCAGCUGGAGUGACUCGGGGUGGCCCGUCGGUCCCGUGACCCUGGUCCCAGGUGAUACACCUGAGAGGCCUCGGGUCCACCGAUCUCUGAGUCAGAGGAGGGGCCGUGGCCCAGGAAGGAAGACCAGGUUGUCAUUUGUGCUUAAAUCCAUGGGGACCCCAGACACGGGCCUGUCUGCAGAUUUCUUCUCUCUUUUCUCGUUGUUUUUAGGGACCUUUGGUUGUAUAAUAACAUCCUCCUAAUGUAUCCAUGUUCUUUUAAAUCAGAAGCUUGGGAUUUUCCUUGAGAGUAAGUAUGUGCUCUUGGCGUAAAAGGGUCUCACAUUUCUCAGUGCCUUGGGCAAAUUUCCGUUCCUCUCUGAGCUUUCGCUUCUGCAUCUGGGAAAGGAUAACUCACAUUGAACAAUGUAAUAUGUAAGGUUCCUUACAGGUGUAAGUUUUCUUCUGGGUCGGUUUUCAUGAUCUGCUUUCAUAGUCUUAGGUUUACAGGAACUGUGUUAGGAAUACGUCAGGGAAGGCGGCAAUAGUUUAAUAAAUAUAUGAAAACACUCA